rnacentral:rRNA from 1 species
GACGAACGCUGGCGGCGUGCUUAACACAUGCAAGUCGAACGAUGAAGCCGGAGCUUGCUCUGGUGAAUUAGUGGCGAACGGGUGAGUAACACGUGAGUAACCUGCCCUUGACUCUGGGAUAACUGCGGGAAACUGUAGCUAAUACCGGAUACGACCCUCGGAGGCAUCUCCUGGGGGUGGAAAGAAUUUCGGUCAAGGAUGGACUCGCGGCCUAUCAGGUGGUUGGUGAGGUAAAGGCUCACCAAGGCGACGACGGGUAGCCGGCCUGAGAGGGUGACCGGCCACACUGGGACUGAGACACGGCCCAGACUCCUACGAGAGGCAGCAGUAGGGAAUCUUCCGCAAUGGACGAAAGUCUGACGGAGCAACGCCGCGUGAGGGAUGACGGCCUUCGGGUUGUAAACCUCUUUUAGCAGGGAAGAAGCGAAAGUGACGGUACCUGCAGAAAAAGCACCGGCUAACUACGUGCCAGCAGCCGCCGUAA